rnacentral:rRNA from 1 species
GACGAACGCUGGCGGCGUGCCUAACACAUGCAAGUCGAACGAUGAAGCCCAGUUUGUUUGGCGGCUUAGUGGCGAACGGGUGAGUAACACGCGAGUAACCUGUCCUUAACUCUGGGAUAGGCCUGGGAAACUGGGUCUUAUAUCUGCCAGAUGCGUCCUCCGCACGGAGGGUGUUGGAAUGAUUUAUCGGUUUUGGAUGGUCUCGCGGCCUAUCACCUUGUAGGAGAGGUAAUGUCACACAAAGGCGACGCAGGGCGGCCGGCCUGAGAGGGUGACCGGCCACACUGGGACUGAGAAACGGCCAGGACUCCUACGGGAGGAAGCAGUGGGGGAUAUUGCACAAUGGGCGCAAGCCUGAAGCAACGACGCCGCGUGGGGGAUGACGGCCUUCGGGUUGUAAACCUCUUUAAGUAGGAAAGAAGAGAAAGUGACGGUACCUGCAGAGGAAGCGCCGGCUAACUACGUG